rnacentral:rRNA from 1 species
UACGGGGGGGGCAAGCGUUGUUCGGAAUUACUGGGCGUAAAGGGCUCGUAGGUGGCCAACUAAGUCAGACGUGAAAUCCCUCGGCUUAACCGGGGAACUGCGUCUGAUACUGGAUGGCUUGAGUUCGGGAGAGGGAUGCGGAAUUCCAGGUGUAGCGGUGAAAUGCGUAGAUAUCGGGAGGAACACCAGUAGCGAAGGCGGCUCGCUGGGCCAUUCCUGACGCUGAGACGCGAAAGCUAGGGGAGCGAACAGG